CCUACGGGAGGCAGCAGUGGGGAAUAUUGCACAAUGGGGGAAACCCUGAUGCAGCGACGCCGCGUGAGUGAAGAAGUAUUUCGGUAUGUAAAGCUCUAUCAGCAGGGAAGAAAAUGACGGUACCUGAUUAAGAAGCCCCGGCUAACUACGUGCCAGCAGCCGCGGUAAUACGUAGGGGGCAAGAGUUAUCCGGAUUUACUGGGUGUAAAGGGAGCGUAGACGGCAGCGCAAGUCUGAAGGGAAAUGCCGGGGCUUAACCCCGGAACUGCUUUGGAAACUGUGCAGCUAGAGUGCAGGAGAGGUAAGUGGAAUUCCUGGUGUAGCGGUGAAAUGCGUAGAUAUUAGGAGGAACACC
rnacentral:rRNA from 1 species